UACGAAGGGGCUAGCGUUGUUCGGAUUCAUUGGGCGUAAAGGGUGCGUAGGCGGCGCGGUAAGUCGGGUGUGAAAUCUCGGGCUUAACUCCGAAACUGCAUUCGAUACUGCCGUGCUUGAGGACUGGAGAGGAGACUGGAAUUUACGGUGUAGCGGUGAAAUGCGUAGAUAUCGUAAGGAAGACCAGUGGCGAAGGCGGGUCUCUGGACAGUUCCUGACGCUGAGGCACGAAGGCCAGGGAGCAAACGGG
rnacentral:rRNA from 1 species